GAUGAACGCUGGCGGCGUGCCUAAUACAUGCAAGUCGAGCGAACGGACGAGAAGCUUGCUUCUCUGAUGUUAGCGGCGGACGGGUGAGUAACACGUGGAUAACCUACCUAUAAGACUGGGAUAACUUCGGGAAACCGGAGCUAAUACCGGAUAAUAUUUUGAACCGCAUGGUUCAAAAGUGAAAGACGGUCUUGCUGUCACUUAUAGAUGGAUCCGCGCUGCACUAGCUAGUUGGUAAGGUAACGGCUUACCAAGGCAACGAUGCAUAGCCGACCUGAGAGGGUGAUCGGCCACACUGGAACUGAGACACGGUCCAGACUCCUACGGGAGGCAGCAGUAGGGAAUCUUCCGCAAUGGGCGAAAGCCUGACGGAGCAACGCCGCGUGAGUGAUGAAGGUCUUCGGAUCAUAAAACUCUGUUAUUAGGGAAGAACAUAUGUGUAAGUAACUGUGCACAUCUUGACGGUACCUAAUCAGAAAGCCACGGCUAACUACGUG
rnacentral:rRNA from 1 species